rnacentral:rRNA from 1 species
CCCUAUGUCCAAUACUACCUGGAACACAUCCUCUCUCCUCUGCUGUUGGAAGCUAAACAGAGCCAGGCCUGGUUAGUACUUGGAUGGGAGACUGCCCAGGAAUAUCAUGUGCCUUAGGCU